UAAUUGGAGAGUUUGAUCCUGGCUCAGGACGAACGCUGGCGGCGUGCCUAAUACAUGCAAGUCGAGCGGAGUUAUUU
rnacentral:rRNA from 1 species